AUUGAACGCUGGCGGCAGGCCUAACACAUGCCAGUCGAGCGGAUGAAGGGAGCUUGCUCCUGUAUUCAGCGGCGGACGGGUGAGUAAUGCCUAGGAAUCUGCCUUGUAGUGGGGGAUAACGUCCGUAAACGGGCGCUAAUACCGCAUACGUCCUGAGGUAGAAAGUGGGGGAUCUUCGGACCUCACGCUAUCUGAUGAGCCUAGGUCGGAUUAGCUAGUUGGUUGGGUAAAGGCCUACCAAGGCGACGAUCCGUAACUGGUCUGAGAGGAUGAUCAGUCACACUGGAACUGAGACACGGUCCAGACUCCUACGGGAGGCAGCAGUGGGGAAUAUUGGACAAUGGGCGAAAGCCUGAUCGAGCCAUGCCGCGUGUGUGAAGAAGGUCUUCGGAUUGUAAAGCACUUUAAGUUGGGAGGAAGGGCAGUAAGUUAAUACCUUGCUGUUUUGACGUUACCAACAGAAUAAGCACCGGCUAACUUCGUG
rnacentral:rRNA from 1 species